UGCCAAGUGUUUAAACACUCAUACAUGGGACCUCGAAAAAGUAAUUUUAGUUGGCCAGCCCAGGAAUCAGCUCUAACCAAUUGAGCUAUGCGGGCUGUCGCGUGUUUAAGACAUUCCUUGGUAUCCGAGUAGAAAAAGAGCUACAGAGAAAACAAGCAGAUAGGAAAGGUAGACGUGACAACUUUGGUGGCAUAAAAAUGAAGAAAACACAACAAUAUGGAAAAUUGUGUUCACCAUUCCAGGCAUUGUCUGUACCAAGCGUCAUGGAUAUAAAGAUUCCAGAGAACAUGCCUCUAAGUUCUAGAAUGAUCAACAAAGGUUAUACAUCACUAAAUCUAACAGAAGACAAACUGAUGAACAUGGAUUUUAGUUAUGGUGGACGAGAAACACCACCUGGU